rnacentral:rRNA from 1 species
AUUGAACGCUGGCGGCAGGCCUAACACAUGCAAGUCGAACGGUAACAGGAAACAGCUUGCUGUUUCGCUGACGAGUGGCGGACGGGUGAUUAAUGUCUGGGAAACUGCCUGAUGGAGGGGGAUAACUACUGGAAACGGUAGCUAAUACCGCAUAACGUCGCAAGACCAAAGAGGGGGACCCUCGGGCCUCUUGCCAUCGGAUGUGCCCAGAUGGGAUUAGCUUGUUGGUGGGGUAACGGCUCACCAAGGCGACGAUCCCUAGCUGGUCUGAGAGGAUGACCAGCCACACUGGAACUGAGACACGGUCCAGACUCCUACGGGAGGCAGCAGUGGGGAAUAUUGCACAAUGGGCGCAAGCCUGAUGCAGCCAUGCCGCGUGUAUGAAGAAGGCCUUCGGGUUGUAAAGUACUUUCAGCGGGGAGGAAGGGAGUAAAGUUAAUACCUUUGCUCAUUGACGUUACCCGCAGAAGAAGCACCGGCUAACUCCGUG